rnacentral:rRNA from 1 species
UCGGAUUGCGGCGACGCCGGCGGUUCGCCGCCGGUGACGUUGUGAGAAGUUCAUUAAACCUUAUCAUUUAGAGGAAGGAGAAGUCGUAACAAGGUUUCCGUAGGUGAACCUGCGGAAGGAUCAUUG